rnacentral:rRNA from 1 species
AUUGAACGCUGGCGGCAGGCCUAACACAUGCAAGUCGAACGAGUGGCGGACGGGUGAGUAAUGUCUGGGAAACUGCCCGAUGGAGGGGGAUAACUACUGGAAACUGUAGCUAAUACCGCAUACCAUCGGAUGUGCCCAGAUGGGAUUAGCGGGUGGGUGGGGUAAUGGCUCACCUAGGCGACGAUCCCUAGCUGGUCUGAGAGGAUGACCGGCCACACUGGAAGUGAGACAGGGGCCAGAGUCCUACGGGAGGCGGCAGGUGGGAAUAGGGCACAAGGGGCGCAAGCCUGAUGCAGCCAUGCCGAUUGUAUGAAGAAGGCCUUCGGUUUGUAAAAUACUGUCAGCGGGGAGGCGUUACCCGCAGAAGAAGCACCGGCUAACUCCGUGCCAGCAGCCGCGGUAAUUC